GCAUUUGCAUAUACUAUUAUUUAAUUUAAAUACAACUUGAUGGUAUCUUCUCCUUUUUUUUACUAUUCUUGAUAUCACAUAAUAAUCCACUUAAUCACUUUUGAUAUUAAUAUACUGAUUUAAACCCCUCCAUUUCAUUUGUAAAAAUAAUAUAAAUGAAAUGCUCUACAAUCCACGUUUCUUUAAAACAAAGUGCAUGAAAAACAUAUCAUCACCAACUUCUAGUUAUUAUACAAUAUAUACUGUAUAUAUAUAUAUAUAUAUAUAUGAAAAAAUAUAUUUUAAAAUAGUAAUAAUUGUGCUAACUCAUGCAAAGAUCAUGAGAUCUCGAAAUAUUCUCCAACCAAAAUUCUUGUUAACUAAAGUGAUUGUUUUAGUUAAACAAAACAUUUUGAAUUAUGUAAAGAGUGAAGUUUUAAGUAAAUUAAGUUG